rnacentral:tRNA from 1 species
AGGGUAAAAUGGCUGAUAAUAGGCGGUAAACUGUAAAUUUAUUUAUGGGAAUUAAUUCUCUUUUAC